UACGAAGGGGGCUAGCGUUGUUCGGAAUCACUGGGCGUAAAGCGUACGUAGGCGGACCAUUAAGUCGGGGGUGAAAUCCCAGGGCUCAACCCUGGAACUGCCUCGAUACUGGUGGUCUGGAGUCCGGGAGAGGUGAGUGGAACUCCUAGUGUAGAGGUGAAAUUCGUAGAUAUUAGGAAGAACACCAGUGGCGAAGGCGGCUCACUGGCCCGGUACUGACGCUGAGGUACGAAAGCGUGGGGAGCAAACAGGG
rnacentral:rRNA from 1 species